UACGGGGGAUGCGAGCGUUGUCCGGAUUCACUGGGCGUAAAGGGCGCGUAGGCGGCCGUAUCAGUCGGAUUUAUAAGUGCGGGGCUCAACCUCGUGACGGGUUCGGGACGGUACGGCUGGGGCGCGGCAGAGGGAGACGGAAUGCCAGGUGUAGUGGUGAAAUGCGUAGAGAUCUGGCGGAACACCGGUGAUGAAGAUGGUCUCCUGGGCCGAGGGCCGACGCUGAGGCGCGAGAGCGUGGGGAGCGAACCGG
rnacentral:rRNA from 1 species